GCCUAUGUCCAGCAGUGGACUGCGAUAGGCUGAAGUGAAGUUAUCUACUGACGAUAUAAGUGUCUUGUCUGCUGUGUUUUUUCAGUUACAUAAAAUGAUUUUGUGUAAUUAUAGACCAUUAGUCACACCAACAAUGUCCUAUAACGUCAUUUCUAAUAACUUAGUUUCUGAGAGUCAUAGCUGCAUACACAUUCAUAUAUUUGCAUAAUACGUACAAAAAUAAAUGUGUGUAUGUUUCUUGAAUUUCCUGCAUAGGUUUUCAUAAUUGCUUUAUCAAUUCGAGUAUUAUAAGAUAAAUAACGUUCGUUUGUUUUAAUGCAAAUUAAAGGACUGAUAU